UAGGGAAUCUUCGGCAAUGGACGGAAGUCUGACCGAGCAACGCCGCGUGAGUGAAGAAGGUUUUCGGAUCGUAAAGCUCUGUUGUAAGAGAAGAACGAGUGUGAGAGUGGAAAGUUCACACUGUGACGGUAUCUUACCAGAAAGGGACGGCUAACUACGUGCCAGCAGCCGCGGUAAUACGUAGGUCCCGAGCGUUGUCCGGAUUUAUUGGGCGUAAAGCGAGCGCAGGCGGUUAGAUGAGUCUGAAGUUAAAGGCUGUGGCUUAACCAUAGUACGCUUUGGAAACUGUUUAACUUGAGUGCAAGAGGGGAGAGUGGAAUUCCAUGUGUAGCGGUGAAAUGCGUAGAUAUAUGGAGGAACACCGGUGGCGAAAGCGGCUCUCUGGCUUGUAACUGACGCUGAGGCUCGAAAGCGUGGGGAGCAAACAGGAUUAGAUACCCUGGUAGUCCACGCCGUAACGAUGAGUGCUAGGUGUUAGACCCUUUCCGGGGUUUAGUGCCGCAGCUAACGCAUUAAGCACUCCGCCUGGGGAGUACGACCGCAAGGUU
rnacentral:rRNA from 1 species